CUGUUGAUGUGUCAGUGUUUUUAAAAACCAAAUUUGAAGACCAAAUGCAAGACACAUUUCUUGUAAAUGUUACUGAGGAGGGAACAGAUGUAAUGGUGUCAAAAUCUGCAAUGGUGUGCAUUACAAAGAAAUCUGUAUAUCUCUUGGAGGGGAGCACAUAGCCCAGAGCACCAACGAACUGGCCGGAUGCAUGGAGAAUCAGGAUGCCUGGAGGCAAUGAUGGAAGGCUGGUCUGAGGACGACUUGGAUAGAACCACACCCAUACUGAUUUAUGAAUCGAAAGACAAGAGUAAAAAAAACCUUUAUUGUGGAACAAUCUGUAGCGGUUGUCACCCAGUUCAAGAUCCGCACCUCAACAACUUUCAUACAAAAUUUGGUCCUUCGAGCCGGAGCAGACAGCUACUACAGCAUUACCAUGUCUAGAACAGAAAGACAGGCUACGUCAGUGCCACCAGUGGUUCGACCACGUCGACAGGUCAUCCCACCAAGAUACUUGGAUGACCUCUAUGUUGAUUACACAGUGCCACAUCAGUUACUACAUUCUGAUGAACAUCCUACAACUGGUGCCACUGGAAAACCUGGUAAAAGGCCUGCAUUUAAAGAGUUCACAUGUAUUGAAAGCGGACCAGAACUAACGAAAAGUACAAGCACUGGAUCAAGUGAGAGGAGUUCGUAUGUGGAGACACAUCAAGAUUUGUCACCGCCGCGGCCAAUGCCCCAUACUCGGACUUCUCCAAGGUGAAUAAUGCAGAUUAGAGAGUUCUCUCCUCAAGUCCAUAUACGGCACCCACUGAGGGCAGGCCAGUUCUGCCUAGAGAUCAAGAUGAUUCUCCUCAGCCCAUGAGGGCACUGUCUGUAGAUUCACGA